GAGUUCUAGGGACUGUGGUGGCAACCACUGUGUCACUGAGGCUGUCAGCUUACACACUUCUUUGUUCCCAGGGAUCUCCAUAUAUCUCAGGUUCACAGAUGAAGAGAAAUUUCGUGAGAAUGAACUGUACCGUGAAGCUCACCUGCAUCUGAUUUAGGUAAUAUUUAAAUAAGACCUUGGACUUUAGACUGGACUUGAGGCUGGAAUGAGUUAAGAUUUGUGGAUUUGUUGGAAUGGAAUGACUGCAUUUUGUAUGUGAAGAUAUGAAUUUUGGGGAACCUGGGGCAGAAUGUUACGGACUGAAUUUUUAAAGUGUACCCUCAAAAUCUGUAUAUUGAAAUCGUAACUGUCAAUGUAA